rnacentral:rRNA from 1 species
CCUCCGGUAGGGUGACCUGCGGAGGGAUCAUUACACAAAUAUGAAGGCGGGCUGGAACCUCUCGGGGUUACAGCCUUGCUGAAUUAUUCACCCUUGUCUUUUGCGUACUUCUUGUUUCCUUGGUGGGUUCGCCCACCACUAGGACAAACAUAAACCUUUUGUAAUUGCAAUCAGCGUCAGUAACAAAUUAAUAAUUACAACUUUCAACAACGGAUCUCUUGGUUCUGGCAUCGAUGAAGAACGCAGCGAAAUGCGAUAAGUAGUGUGAAUUGCAGAAUUCAGUGAAUCAUCGAAUCUUUGAACGCACAUUGCGCCCUUUGGUAUUCCAAAGGGCAUGCCUGUUCGAGCGUCAUUUGUACCCUCAAGCUUUGCUUGGUGUUGGGCGUCUUGUCUCUAGCUUUGCUGGAGACUCGCCUUAAAGUAAUUGGCAGCCGGCCUACUGGUUUCGGAGCGCAGCACAAGUCGCACUCUCUAUCAGCAAAGGUCUAGCAUCCAUUAAGCCUUUUUUUCAACUUUUGACCUCGGAUCAGGUAGGGAUACCCGCUGAACUUAAGCAUAUCAAUAAGGCGGGAGGAA